rnacentral:rRNA from 1 species
CAGCCGCCGCGGGAAUACGAGGGGGGCAAGCGUUGUUCGGAAUUAUUGGGCGUAAAGGGUGCGUAGGCGGUUUGACAAGUCUUAUGUGAAAUCUCUGGGCUCAACCCAGAGUCGGCAUGGGAAACUGUCGGGCUUGAGUAUGGGAGAGGUGAGUGGAAUUUCCGGUGUAGCGGUGAAAUGCGUAGAUAUCGGAAGGAACACCUGUGGCGAAAGCGGCUCACUGGACCAUAACUGACGCUGAGGCACGAAAGCGUGGGGAGCAAACAGGAUUAGAUACCCGCGUAGUCCCUGUCUCUUAUAC